UAAAAUCAAAGUUUAAUAAUUGCAACAGCAUCAUUCCAUAAAUUAACAUAUACAUGAUUAAUAAGUUAACAUUCAUAUCAUCAGUAUUAUUAUACAUCCACUACAUUUUAAAAUGCCAUCAUAUUCCCCUAUUUAGUGCACUUCUUUUGACGAGGGCACAUAAGUAGUGCACUACCUAGGGAAUAUACUACUGCUGUAUUUGGGAUGCAAAUCCAUUUACAUGAACAAAUAAAACACAGUGUCAAGUGGAGCAGGCAAAUGAGAAGAUCUUCCACUAAUACUUCACACACCCUAUUACCUAUAUAGUGCACUACUUUAGACCAGGGUCCUAUGGGCCCUAGUGCACUAUAUAGGGAAUAGGGUGCCAUUUGGGUGUGACCCACAAACUGACCACUGAUCCAAAGUCAGCAAAUGUAAUAUUGUCCAGGUUAAGAGGAGGGAACAGCCAGGUAACGAGGGUGAACGACGGAUGUGAUAUUGACCAGGUUAAGAGGGAACAGCCAGGUAACGAGGGUGAACGACGGAUGUGAUAUUGACCAGGUUAAGAGGAGGGAACAACCAGGUAACGAGGGUGAACGACGGAUGUGAUAUUGACCAGGUUAAGAGGAGGGAACAGCCAGGUAACGAGGGUGAACGACGGAUGUGAUAUUGACCAGGUUAAGACGAGGGAACAGCCAGGUAACGAGGGUGAACGACGGAUGUGAUAUUGACCAGGUUAAGAGGGAACAGCCAGGUAACGAGGGUGAACGACGGAUGUGAUAUUGACCAGGUUAAGACGAGGGAACAGCCAGGUAACGAGGGUGAACGACGGAUGUGAUAUUGACCAGGUUAAGAGGAGGGAACAGCCAGGUAACGAGGGUGAACGACGGAUGUGAUAUUGACCAGGUUAAGAGGGAACAGCCAGGUAACGAGGGUGAACGACGGAUGUGAUAUUGACCAGGUUAAGACGAGGGAACAGCCAGGUAACGAGGGUGAACGACAGAUGUGAUAUUGACCAGGUUAAGACGAGGGAACAGCCAGGUAACGAGGGUGAACGACGGAUGUGAUAUUGACCAGGUUAAGAGGGAACAGCCAGGUAACGAGGGUGAACGACGGAUGUGAUAUUGACCAGGUUAAGAGGGAACAACCAGGUAACGAGGGUGAACGACGGAUGUGAUAUUGACCAGGUUAAGAGGGAACAGCCAGGUAACGAGGGUGAACGACGGAUGUGAUAUUGACCAGGUUAAGAGGGAACAGCCAGGUAACGAGGGUGAACGACGGAUGUGAUAUUGACCAGGUUAAGAGGAGGGAACCGCCAGGUAACGAGGGUGAACGAUGGCGAAGGGUUAAGGAGUAUAAAAAGGGAAAAACAAAACUCCACAAGUAAUCAUGUGCAAAUCCACUUUAAAACAGUCAAAAUAUUCAAAUCAAUGGCACUGGUUUAACAUGAACAAAACAUUAAAGUACAUUUUCAGUAAAUACCAUAUCUUCCUUCCUUCCUUCAACUGACCUGAGCCCUAGGACCGUGCCCCAGGACUACCUGACAUGAAGGCUCCUUGCUGUCCCCAGUCCACCUGACUGUGCUGCUGCUCCAGUUUCAACUGUUCUGCCUUAUUAUUAUUCGACCAUGCUGGUCAUUUAUGAACAUUUGAACAUCUUGGUCAUGUUCUGUUAUAAUCUCUACCCGGCACAGCCAGAAGAGGACUGGCCACCCCACAUAGCCCAGUUCCUCUCUAGGUUUCUUCCUAGGUUUUGGCCUUUCUAGGGAGUUUUUCCUAGCCACUGUGCUUUUACACCUGCAUUGUUUGCUGUUUGGGGUUUUAGGCUGGGUUUCUGUACAGCACUUUGAGAUAUCAGCUGAUGUACGAAGGGCUAUAUAAAUACAUUUGAUUUGAUUUGAUUUGAUUCCAUCCCUCGCUCCCUCUCUCUCUCUCUCUCUCUACCUCCCUCCCUCCCUCCC